GGGGGGGGACUCCAGUGUAAAAUUCUUUCUCUUUUUGUUUCUGCAAAGUGUCUUGAUAGUAUCUGUGUGUGAUAACUUGGAGUAGUUUUCCUAAAUAUCCAGGAAGUUAACUGUGAAUACAGUUGACAAAAGACAUAUUGAGGUACCAGUGCAAGUAAAGACAAGGUCAGAAGUUGACCUUGAACUCUUACAUGACCUGUAUGUGACCCCUGGAUCUCCUGUGGCAUUUGACCUUCACAUUAACAGCAAGACCCCGGUGGAAUUGUGUAAGGAAGUGAGAGUUAGCUACAGCGAUGGGCAUUCCAAGGUGUUCAGGGGAUUCACUUACCAG